AUGCACGCACAUAAAGAGAUGGAAACCCACGCCGGCCUCGGCUCCGGCUCCAACGGCGGCAAGCCUGCUCCGACGAAGCCGGCAAUGGACGAACCAUGCGCCGGCGCCGAUGCCGCUGAAGUUCCUCCUUCGCCGGCCCCGACGUGCUCCCCGUCCCUAUCAGGCAUGUGUAACACUGAAGAUACAUAUUCAGUUAUCUGUAGCCCAUCUAGCAAAUACUGGUUCAGUUAUCGAACGGUUCUGAGAGAGAGUAAUCCCACCCAAUUCCCUCCCUAUGAGUCGAUCUGUCUCGAUCUGAGCCGGAGCGGCGCUAGUGGCAGAGAUCAGAACCAGGGCGGCGUUGGUGGCGGCGAUCUAUACCAGGGUGGCACAGGUGGCGGUGAAUUAUUCGGCUGCAAACCAAUCAAGGCGAUGGGACGCGCAAAGGCGAUUGACGAGGCAGAAUUGCAAGAGAUCUUGUCCCUGCGUGAUGAAUUUAGUGUGAUACAAAGAGAUAAUCUGGGGCUUCGAACUGAUGUGUCCAAACUGCAGGAUGAUGUCCACUCAAUCAGCUCUAAACAAGGGGAAAUCUCUUUGCAGGUGGGCAGUGUGGAGAAAGCAGUUUUGGAAUUGGGAAAGCAACUGUCGGCUAUGAACAUGGCGUUAAAAUCAAUUGUUGCACCAUCAAGUUCUGCAAAUCAAGGAGCAAGGCAGACUGAACCGGAGACAUUGCUGAAAUCGCCAACACUUCAACAGGAGGAAAAUUUACCAGCUAUCAGAACUAGCAGAACUGCUGCUCCACCUGGUUUUCAUGCUCAGGUGCAUCAAGAUAGUGCAAGUAUGUUGGGCACUCCUGUAGCACAAGGAAGGGGAGGUGCAACACCCUCAUUCCAACAACCAGCAAGAGACAGACAGCUUUGGCAAGGCUACUUCAGAACUUAUGAACAAGAUAUGCAGGUCCAGUUUAUGAAGUUAAUGACAAAGGGACCUAAAAUGGAUUUCCCAAAAUUCUUUGGUGAAGAUCCUGUGGGGUGGAUCAGACAAUGCAAUAAGUAUUUCCAAAUGGCUGGUGCUCCUGAGGAAUAUAAAGUCUCUUUAUCUCAGAUGUACAUGGCAGGUGAAGCUGAUGUCUGGUUGAGAAGAUCUGGUCUGUUGAAGAAACAACUUUCUUGGCAGGAAUUUGGAAAAGAAGUUGUAAAAAGGUUUUCACAACAAAAUUCUUAUGACUUGACUGAAAAGUUCAAUACACUCAAACAGGGCAAUAGCACAGUGACAGAGUAUACAAAACUGUUUGAGGAUUUAAUGUCAGAAAUGCAAGAAGAGAACCCUGCUUUAUCUGAAGGUUGGUUCAUCAGGUGCUAUAUUAAUGGAUUGAGAGAGGGCAUUAAGUACCAACUGAGGCCACUAAGACCAACAACACUGACUGAUGCUUUUUGUUUAGCUAGGGAUGUAGAACCUUGCCACCCUCCAGCUAUUCAUCAGAAGAAGACCAGUGUGUCAUACAACAAUUACUAUCAAAAGCAAUUUACACCUUCAGCAGCUAAAGCUCCCAAUACUUCUACAGUCGUGCAGAGCACAAACAGUAACAGACACGCUGAAAACAUCAACACCAACAUUCAGAGAAUAAGGAAAGUGGGGGAAUGUUGGAGAUGUGGAGAUAAAUGGGUCCAUGGCCAUAAAUGCACUUUAGUUCCAAAUGUUCACAUGUUGCAACAGGAAUUAGAGGAGAAUGGUCCAACCGAAGUUGAAAAUGAACAAGAGAGUCAGGAGGAAGUAGCAGAACAAUCUGAACAAGCAAUGUUCAUUUCCUCUCAUGCAAUGGGCCAAUAUUUAACCACACAAUGCCCUACAAAGAAUGGAGGGCCAGCAACACAACACCGUGAGGUCACGUCGCUUCUUCAGGAGGAGGCAAUGUCAGGCAUGUGGAACACUGAAGAUACAUAUUCAGUUAUCUGUAGCCCAUCUAGCAAAUACUGGUUCAGUUAUCGAACGGUCCUGACAGUCCCCCAGCCGGGUACAUUCACCGGCGCGAGGAAGCGGAAGGCCCCGGCGACGGCGACGGCAAAGGCUGUCGGGAAGCCUCGCAAGACGCAGAGCACCGUUUUCCCGCGUGCGUGGCAACUAUUUAGAAGACAAAUGUGCUCACUAAUUGGUGAGCUGCCGCUGCAGCCACAGUCCAUGUCAUUGGUGGAUCUACAGCUCUGGAUCUUCAGGCUGUUCCGGCUCCAUCCAGAAACACAAGAUCUCGAUAUCAAGGGGUUCCUCAAGCAACGCAAAACUGAUUUCUUUGACGAAGAGUCCUCUGAACCGGACUGUUGUUUGGAGGACUACCCAGAAAAAAAACAUGUGACACAGAAGUUCAUGUUGUAUGUGCAAUCCUUUGAGGUCAGGCACUACGACAUUUUGCUCAAAGCCGUACAUGAUGAUUACUCUCAACUGGCGAUGGUUGUGUUGCCUGGGACGGAGUGCCUGGCAAGUAGUAGCUACGCCUUCCGUGACCUUGUGGAUGACCUGACGAUGACAGCUAAGGAAUUGGUACAUUAUCUCACUGGACCCUUAGGCGAGAAGAUUAGUCCCGUCGAGGCGUGGAGGGCAAGACAGUUUGCUCUGGAGAGGGAAUUCGGUACCUUUUAUGAUUCACACAACUUUGCCCCGAGGUUGCUUAAGGAAAUAGCACGCAAGAACUCUGGUUGUUUUGUUGACAUCAAGGAUGCAGAGGUUGCAGAGUCAUGUGCUGUCGUUGAGGGUGAAACCAAGGAAAGUUGGUUGUGGUUUCUUAGGAAUUUGGAGCGAGCAGUGGUGCAUCAGUCUGAUGUGUGCAUUAUACAUGACUACAAAAGGGAGUUGAUUGAUGCUGUGGAGGACCUUCUGAAAUCCCGAGAUCGACAGUGGCGUAAAGCAGAAAGCAGGUGGUGCAUGGAAGACCUUGCUGAAAACUUCUUUGCGUCUUUUGGUGAUAAGAAGCUUCUGCUGAUGUUCAGGAAACUUUGCCAGCAGAAGCGGUGCCAUAAGUUUGGAAAAAUCUGGAAGGAGCUAGACGAGUUGACGUCCAAAUAUAUGGUGGAGAAAGAACAGGGCGCUAGUGGGGAAAUGCAGCAGGAAUCAGUCAAGCAUGAGGUGGCAGAGCUUGAGGCGCAAAGCCAAUGUAACCAACAUGAUUCAGUGAAGGAUGGGAAGGAAGAAGAUCAUGCCGAUGACACCAAAAGAAAGAUAACAAAGUUCUCUGAUUGGAUCAGUCUGAAACCAAAGGAGAAGUGGUCACUGGCAUAUGACAGAGAUGGAGCAAGGUAUGGCAUCAUGGGCAGUGAUAUAGCUGAUGUAUAUAAGAACGACCCUGUGUUGAAAGGGAUCACAUGCCUUCCGCUCAGAAGGGUACAGCUAGAAAGAUCAUCACGAGCGAUAGUGGAGGUGACAUUCCCGCGCUUGGUAAAGUACUUCAAAAACACAAGUGCUGCAGCAAACAAAGCAAUUGGCAACCCAUCAAUUAACUUCCCGGAACGUGUCCAGGUUGACAUGAACUCCAAAAUGCAGAAAUCCGAGAUGCAUAAACUUACGUAUACCUAUGCGGAUGAGAAGAAUGCUCGUGGUGAGGUAUUGGAUCGGAAGUUUACAGUUAAGGGAAGGAAGAGGGACGUGACUGUUCACCUGAAGUCGGAAUAUACCCGCAGCAUGAAUAAGUCUGAAGGAUCCACGGUUGAAAAAACUGCCACAUGUUCAUGCAGCAAGCCGCAGCUACUUCACAAGCCUUGCUCUCAUGUUAUCGCCAUCUGUUGUAAGAUUGGGGUUAGCUCUGCUACAUACAUGUCCCCAUACUACAGCCUGCCCUAUCUAGGUAGGACCUGGAGUGGAAUUUUUGAUGAAUCUAAGAUCUCACGCGACUACAGAAAUAUCAUACCAUUUGGAUGCACUACCUGGAUCCCAGACAAAAGAUUGGAGUCUGGUCUUCCUGUUUUUGUAACACCGGAAUGCCUAGCAACUGUCACGGAGGAGUUAGAGCAACAAUGCAGCACUGGAAAUGGAUCAACUGAAGACAAUCAAGGAUCGACAUCACGCUCAGAAGAACCUAAUUAA
rnacentral:rRNA from 1 species